UGUUUCACAAAUUAGAAACAAAAGAAUGCAUCUAUGAUCCUCCUUUUUAUCUAUUGGAUCUUAUCUUGAUUCAACUAUUUUAAUUAUGAUUUUCUCUGUGUUAAGUAUUGUAAGGAGACAUUUUAUGAUGUUUCCCUUUUUUGUUGAUCUUUAUCACUGACUAGAGGACAAGACUGCCUUUCUUAUCUGCUUUCUGUUAUACAUAUAUAUGCAUAUUUAUAUUGUUUAUUCUUUAUGAUUUGCAGCUUCGCCAUUUCUGUGAUGCGUGGUCAAAUUUAGCUAGUGCAUAUAUGAGGAAAGGAAGGCUUAAUGAGGCAGCCCGGUGUUGUCACCAGGCUCUUGCAUUGAACCCUCGCUUGUUUGUCAGAAAAUGCAUAUGUUCUUAUGGUAGAGGUAUUGAAGAAAAUGCAAAUAUUCUGUAGGCAUUAAGCUCCCUUGUUGCUUCACUACUUGAGAAAGAAAAGGAUCUUCAACUUCUCUCUGAUUGGUCCAAUUCCUCCUGCUUUGGUUAUUCUGCUUUUGAAGAAGUUCUCCCACAUGCUCCAACAUUGAUGACUGAUGUGUUUGGCAAUUAUGUUAUUUAAAAGUUUUUUGAUCAUGGAAGCCCUGAGCAGAGAAAAGAACUAGCAAAUCAGCUUGCUGGCCACAUUUAACCUUGGAGCCUUUAGAUGUAUGGGUGCCGGGUAAUUCAAAAGGUAUUAUUAUGGGUCAUUUGUU